CAUAAAAAGUUAAAAUACACAAAACCCUUACUAAGUUUAGUCUCCAAAUUGUCAGCAAAUGACAUCAUAUAUAAAAAUUAAAUUCUCAAAAAACAAAAUUCAUCAACAAAUUAAACAGCAAGCACAUUUCAAUUUCCAUUUUCUAGUAAUUUUGUUGUGCUAAAGUGUUGAUUCCAAAAUUUCAGCUUUUCUUUUACGGUCACAGACUCACAGUGAAAUGCUAUCCCGAAGAGAAUGUUUAAUACCCGCAACUUCACUAACACCGCUCUAACAUUUGCUGUUAUUAUGCCUGCAUCAAUUACUGAGAAACUUUCUCUUCCUGGUAGUGUUCAUGUAAGGUCUGAUGACCCAUUCUGUUUGAGCUUCAGCUUGAUCCACUGUUCCCAAUUUUAUCUGCAAAAGUUUCCAGAAACAUGAGGACAAAAUUUUUGUAUCCAAUAUUAGGAAUAAGAUUGGGGUUUAAUGUAAACUAGUAUGUGCAAAAAUAGGAAGUAACCUAAGCCAACUUCAAUAAAAUUCCGAAAUAAACACUUAAGGAAAAAAAAACGAAACGAACUUUUGUAAUAAUUGAGUUUCUCCAUAAACGUCUAUAUGCUAACAAGUCUCAAUUUUUUCACAAAUUCUCUCGUACAGCUUUUCCAUAAACAUCUACAUGCUUAUAGAGAGUUUUUCGAAAGGGGUGAACCCUUGGGUUUCAAUUAGUGUUCCUAGUUAAGAUGCAAGAAAUAAAGUCAUUCAAGAGAAUUUUAUCAGACAUCGAUAAAUAUUGGAUGGUCAGCAGUUUGUUUGCCUUACAUAGCAUGGUAACCAAAAAAAAUCUGCUACUUCACAAUUUAAAGUGGAUAUCUCUUAUUGGAUUAGACUCUGACAAGCAAU
rnacentral:lncRNA from 1 species